AAAGUGGUGGUUUAAUUAGGCAGCCCAUCAGGUUUUUGUUGAACUUGAAGAGCACUGGCUCGUUAUCCUUCCACUGCACAGAGCGGGAGCUGUUCGUUGCUCUGUGAAACCAGCCUCACGCAGUCCACCCCACUGUAAGAGCCAAGCAGCCCAUACUUUCGUCUGGACCACGUGACUCAACUCCGUGCUUGGAUAGGGCAGGCCAGACUAAUGCCAACCAAAGUCCAGCCAUCAAGAAC